AUGAAAGGCGGCUUUGUCGUCGACGGGCCGCUCUUGGUCCUGGGUCGUGUGCUCCUCCUCCUCCUCCUCCUGCCGGUUGCUGUUUGGUUCGUGCUGGACGUAUCCCCGGUCCUCACGUACUCCGGCAGCAUAAUAACGGCCAGACAUCUUCCCCAGGCCCAAGCCUGUAGCAACUAUGCAAAGGGCAAGUGGGUAGCGGAUGCGAGGAGGCCGCUCUACUCCGGCAACGAGUGCAGGCGAUGGCUGUCACGAAUGUGGUCUUGCCGCAGGACGGAACGCACAGAUUUCUCGUACGAGAGCUACCGGUGGCAGCCGCAUGACUGCGAGAUGCCCGACUUCUCAGGGCCAAACUUUCUGCAACGGUACGUGCUCCAAUCAUCUGCGCCCUUCUCCAAUAGAUUUUGCCGCGAAGACUCGUCGAUCGUAAGUUGUAACAUAUCCAUGGCGAUGCCUAUCGUAAGUUGUAACAUAUCCAUGGCGAUGCCUGAUGACAGGAUGAGGAACAGAACUCUGGCAUUCGUGGGCGAUUCGCUGGGCAGAGAGCAGUUCCAGUCCAUGAUGUGCAUCGCGACAGGCGGCAAGCGCAGCCCCGAGGUUGAAGACGUCGGCCGGAGAUACGGCCUCGAAAAGGCCCCGUCGCCGUUCAGUCCGGGCGGCUCCGCCUACCGCUUCCCAGAGACCAACACCACCAUCCUCUUCUACUGGUCCGCCACCCUGUCCCAGCUGGAGCCUCUGACGGACGAGAGGAGGAGCUACGCGCUGCACCUCGACCGGCCGGCGCCGUUCCUGAAGGAGCACCUCCCCAGCUUCGACGCCCUGGUGCUCAACACCGGCCACCACUGA
rnacentral:rRNA from 1 species